rnacentral:rRNA from 1 species
GACGAACGCUGGCGGCGUGCUUAACACAUGCAAGUCGAACGGAAAGGCCUGCUUUCCCUUGUGUAUUGCGGGUACUAGAGUGGCGAACGGGUGAGUAACACGUGAGUUAUAUUCCCCCAAAUUUGGUAGAAGCCUGGGAAACUGGGGCUAAUUCCCGAUAGGACCGCAGGGUGGGGUCGGAGGUGGAAGACGAUGUGGUGGGGGUUGGGGAUGAGCUCGGGGCCUUUCAGGUGGUUGGUUGGGGAAGGGCUUACCAAGGCUGCGACGGGUAGCGGGCCGGGGAGGGUGACCGGGCAGAUUGGGAAUGCGAUAGGGCCAAGACUCCUACGGGAGGGAGCAGUGGGGAAUAUGGCCCAAUGGGCGGAAGCCUGAUGCAGCAACGCCGCGUGCGGGAUGACGGCCUUCGGGUUGUAAACCGCUUUCGCCUGUGACGAAGCGUGAGUGACGGUAAUGGGUAAAGAAGCACCGGCUAACUACGUG